rnacentral:rRNA from 1 species
CCUACGGGCGGCAGCAGUGGGGAAUAUUGCACAAUGGAGGAAACCCUGAUGCAGCGACGCCGCGUGAGCGAUGAAGGAUUUCGGUAUGUAAAGCUCUAUCAGCAGGGAAGAAAAUGACGGUACCUGACUAAGAAGCCCCGGCUAACUACGUGCCAACAGCCGCGGUAAUACGUAGGGGGCCAGCGUUAUCCGGAUUUACUGGGUGGAAAGGGAGCGUAGACGGCGGUGCAAGUCAGAUGUGAAAGUCCGGGGCUCAACCCCGGGACUGCAUUUGAAACUGUGCUGCUAGAGUGUCGGAGAGGCAGGCGGAAUGCGUAGUGUAGCGGUGAAAUGCGUAGAUAUUAGGAGGAACACCAGUGGCGAAGGCGGCCUGCUGGACGAUGACUGACGUUGAGGCACGAAAGCGUGGGGAGCAAACAGGAUUAGAUACCCGAGUAGUC